UAUCCAUUUAGAAUGCCAAUGAGUUCAGAUCCUAUGAUGGGAGGAGCGAAGGACAUGAGCCUUCCAUAGGAUAUAAUUGUCUUUAGUGAGUUUCUUGUUUACGUAAGGCCUGAGAGGGGAUGAUUUGGCGCUGGAGGAAGAAUAUGGUAUUGAAAGUAGACAGAUGUGUCGAUGAGAAGAGGGCUUCGAUUACCAUGAAAGAUUUAAUGGAAGUUUGGUAAAACAUAGCUACCUUACCCAGCGCACCAUGGGUCAAUGUUAAUAUAGGCAACAAUGCCAAUCAAACUUAAAAUGAGUUGUUUUACAACUUGUUCACCAAGGAGCCUAGUUCAACCACUUAUAUCUCUAAACAAUUCCUCUAAAGAGGCAACUAAGGUUGAAUCCCAUGCAAGAAAGAAUAUGGAGGUGGGACACCAAAGUAGGCCCCACCCAAUCACAAUCCAUCAAUAGAUCGACACCCGAUGGAGAAUCU
rnacentral:lncRNA from 1 species